rnacentral:rRNA from 1 species
UACAGAGGGUGCAAGCGUUGUCCGGAAUCACUGGGCGUAAAGGGCGCGUAGGCGGCCUGAUAAGUCGGGGGUGAAAUUCUGCGGCUUAACCGCAGGACGGCCUUCGAGACUGUCGGGCUUGAGCACGGUAGAGGCUGGUGGAAUUCCCGGUGUAGCGGUGGAAUGCGUAGAGAUCGGGAAGAACAUCGGUGCGAAGGCGGCCAGCU